UAGACACAGUUAUGAAACUACGUUACCUCUACAAGUACAGGUGAAAUCAGUUGUGGUUGAUCCCAGUCAGCACACCUCCAGCAGUAAACCAGUUACGCCUCCUCUGUCAGAGCACAAUGCCAAGCCAAGCCCAAAGGAGAACAGAGGCCUUGUGAGGAGACAAAGGCCGGUGAUCUUCGACAGGGAGGUGGACUGGGAGCGUGGAGA